GUAGGGAAUCUUGCGCAAUGGGCGAAAGCCUGACGCAGCGACACCGUGUGAAGGAUGAAGGCCUUCGGGUCGUAAACUUCUGUCAAUUGGGGACGAAGGCACUGGGGUUAAUAGCCUGCAGUGUUGACGGUACCCAAAAAGGAAGUCUCGGCUAACUCCGUGCCAGCAGCCGCGGUAAGACGGAGGAGGCAAGCGUUGUCCGGAAUUAUUGGGCGUAAAGAGCGCGUAGGCUGUUUUCCAAGUCAUAUGUGAAAACCUCAGGCUCAACUUGAGGAUUGCAUAUGAAACUGGAUAACUUGAGUGCAGUAGGGGAAAGUGGAAUUCCUGGUGUAGCGGUGAAAUGCGCAGAUAUCAGGAAGAACACCAGUAGCGAAGGCGGCUUUCUGGGCUGUUACUGACGCUGAGGCGCGAAAGCUAGGGGAGCAAACAGGAUUAGAAACCCUUGUAGUCC
rnacentral:rRNA from 1 species